UGCUCAGGGAUUUUAGCUGGAGUUGACAAGUCACCUUUUACUGUCUCUAUCUCAUUUCAAGACCUCUCUUGAAGUAGACAAGCAUUGAAGCCUCUUUAUUUUCUCAAGGUAUGUUGCAGAAGUGUAAUCCCACUUGAUAGGUAUGCGAGACCUAAGCAUGGUCCUGAUUUCUCCUGAAACUAUACCUCUGUCUUCAAGCAUUGCCAUGAAUUUUGGAUUGUCAGCUGAAAACUCAAACAGAAAACCAGCAGUUGCAGUCCAGAGGCAAUAUUUCAUUGAAGGAAGAACCAGAUGAAAAAAGAAAAUAAGAAAUCAGUAAGGAAGCCAUUCCAUUCCAAAAGCAAGGGGGUUUUGUCCUCUUUACCUUUAGUGAAGACAGCAUCAUUACAUUGGAACAUGCAACACACAUCUCUUUCUGGAGGACUCCCAGCUAGAUUAUCUGAAGAUUUUUGAAAUUUAAUUUAAAUUAAUGACUGUGUGAGUAAAGAAAACUCAGGUUCAA